rnacentral:rRNA from 1 species
UACGGAGGGUGCGAGCGUUGUCCGGAAUCAUUGGGCGUAAAGGGCGCGUAGGUGGCGGGACAAGCGUGCGGUGAAAGCCUGGGGCUCAACCCCGGGUCGGCCGUGCGAACUGUUUUGCUUGAGCACUGUAGAAGCAGGCGGAAUUCCGGGUGUAGCGGUGGAAUGCGUAGAGAUCCGGAAGAACACCGGUGGCGAAGGCGGCCUGCUGGGCAGUAGCUGACACUGAGGCGCGACAGCGUGGGGAGCAAACAGG